rnacentral:tRNA from 3 species
GGGCGUAUAGCUCAGCGGUUAGAGCGCCUGCCUUACAAGCAGGAUGUCGCUGGUUCGAAUCCGGCUACGCCCACCA